CUCCGGGUGGAUUUGAAGUGGAGACGUGGAAUCUUCCAUGUUAUUCUGGAAUGUGGGAUAAGACAGGGUCCCAUGAUAUGGACCCCUCUUCGAAUGGGUUGAUGCUGGUCCUGCUGGAGCUGAUGAUCUGAACCAGUCUGUCAGCCACCUAGCUCCCCCUCCUCCAAACACAACCACUGCCCAUGUCCUGAUCCCAGUGGUCCAGCUUGUCUGUGGUGACUGGUUGGCUGGCUGUUCCAUAACACUCUCAUUGGCCCUGGGACUCCUCUUCUAC